AUAGUUAAGAAUCCGCACUACAUAGAUAUCAAAGUACUGCAAACUCUAUUCAUUCAACUGCACAAAUCUCAAAGCAUCAUUAGCAUCUAGCCUAUAGUCAAGGAUCAUCCAACAUAGUUCUCAAAGAACUUCGAACCUCUUUAGUCAUCCGGGUGCAUAGAUUUCAAAGCAUCCUUAGUAUAUAUUUAGUUAAGGAUCACUAACCACAUAAUCUUAAAACAUUUCGAGCCUCUUCAUUCAUCUGCCUGCAUAAAUUUUCAAGCAACCUUAGUAUAUGACUUUAAGGAUCAUCCACCGCACAGAUCUCAAAGUACUCCAAAAGUCUUGAUUCAGCCGCUUGUAUAGUUUUUAAAACAUUCUUAGUAUAUGACCCAUAAUUAAGAAUCACCUACUGCACAUAUUUUAAACCACUUCGAACCUCUUCAUCUAUCUGCACAAUCCAAAGACAUUCGAGAUGUUUGAAGAGAGCGAGU
rnacentral:lncRNA from 1 species